rnacentral:lncRNA from 1 species
UGUCCUUGUACACCUGAGGAUUUGACCAGGCCUUUUUGGCAGCGGCCUCUCCCUGCAGACCCCAGUUCAGAGGCAAACCAUAGGAGACUCUUAACUACAGAAAACAAACUGAGGAUUGCUGGAAGUGAGGGUCACCUCCUGGUCCACAAUGGCUUCUUCCCCUGUUGGCUAGCAUGUUCAUAUUCUAGACAGCAGGUAAGAGAGAAGGCCAAAGGAGAAAAGAGAUCACGAGCCAGAGAUGACCUGGAAAUCCCACCUCAAACAGACUUCCACAGAAAACUUGUUUAAAUGGGAAUAGAAAGACACUGGAAAUAUGUCUCUUAUCUGCAUGGCUAGGCCCAUCCAGUUGUGAAGUGUGGUUAUACCAACUCUGAAGACCAACUCUGAAGACUAUCCUUGGAGUAGUACUCAUUUACAUGCUUUGGGUAGUUGCUGGAUAUGAUAUGGAGGAGGAGAAGAAAGGAGCAAAAGGAAACUGACCUCCUUUCCAUAUCCUUGUGUAAAGUUUGAGGGGUCCAUUGAACUCAUUGUACGAAAAUUGUUUUAAAGUGUUAAUUAAGAAAAUAACAUCCUACUUUUUGUAAAAUCACCACCACAUAACUCUGAUCUAGGUUAUGUCUUGGUUAAGUCUCUUCUAGAUUAGAUGCAUGAGCAUGUUCAGUCAAAUUGUUAAAUAGAUGUUUUCCUCAGCAGCCUUCGAUUUCCAAAAGGGGCAGUAAGUCACUGUGAGAAAGGUUGGAGCUGCACAUCCUCAGUGAGGUGCUUUUUCUGCCAAGAACAGAAAAUUAAAAGUUGAAUAAGACCCACAGCUAAGAAAUACCAAGUUAGGUCAAAUUAGAAAAUGUGCUAAGUAACUAUGAUUCAUGUAGUUGAAUUUCAUCACUGAUCUGCAGGGGAGAGGCAGCCAAACUGUCAAAAUGAACAAAAGAAAUAGCUACUAAAUUGGCCUCAACUGGAGGGCCAGAGCUCAGACUUCUUGUUUGUAGAUACGGGAGCACACAAUUGUGAGCCUCUUCUCUUGAAAUUAAAAAAAUGAAAGUAACUCUUUUUUCUUUUCCUAUAACAAGUUAUUACUAUAAAUUUG